GAUGAACGCUAGCGGCAGGCCUAACACAUGCAAGUCGAGGGGUAUAGGUUUUCGGACCUAGAGACCGGCGCACGGGUGCGUAACGCGUAUGCAAUCUACCUUUCACAGAGGGAUAGCCCAGAGAACUUUGGAUUAACACCUCAUAAUAUAGCAGUUUCGCAUGAAACCACUAUUAAAGUAUCAACGGUGAAAGAUGAGCAUGCGUCACAUUAGCUAGAUGGUAAGGUAACGGCGUACCAUGGAUACGAUGGGUAAGGGUCCUGAGAGGGAGAGCCCGCACACUGGUACUGAGACACGGACCAGAAUACUACGGGAGGCAGCAGUGGGGAAUAUUGGUCAAUGGACGCAAGUCUGAACCAGCCGUGCCGCGUGCAGGGUGACGGUCCUAUGGAUUGUAAACUGCUUUUGUACGAGAAGAAACAACAUUACGUGUAAUGUCUUGACGGUAUCGUAAGAAUAAGGAUCGGCUAACUCCGUGCCAGCCGCCGCCGUAAAAC
rnacentral:rRNA from 1 species